AUUUAACCAGAAAGCCACGGCUAACUACGUGCCAGCAGCCGCGGUAAUACGUAGGUGGCAAGCGUUGUCCGGAUUUAUUGGGCGUAAAGCGAGCGCAGGCGGUUUUUUAAGUCUGAUGUGAAAGCCUUCGGCUCAACCGAAGAAGUGCAUCGGAAACUGGGAAACUUGAGUGCAGAAGAGGACAGUGGAACUCCAUGUGUAGCGGUGAAAUGCGUAGAUAUAUGGAAGAACACCAGUGGCGAAGGCGGCUGUCUGGUCUGUAACUGACGCUGAGGCUCGAAAGUAUGGGUAGCAAACAGGAUUAGAUACCCUGGUAGUCCAUACCGUAAACGAUGAAUGCUAAGUGUUGGAGGGUUUCCGCCCUUCAGUGCUGCAGCUAACGCAUUAAGCAUUCCGCCUGGGGAGUACGGCCGCAAGGCUGAAACUCAAAGGAAUUGACGGGGGCCCGCACAAGCGGUGGAGCAUGUGGUUUAAUUCGAAGCUACGCGAAGAACCUUACCAGGUCUUGACAUACUAUGCAAAUCUAAGAGAUUAGACGUUCCCUUCGGGGACAUGGAUACAGGUGGUGCAUGGUUGUCGUCAGCUCGUGUCGUGAGAUGUUGGGUUAAGUCCCGCAACGAGCGCAACCCUUAUUAUCAGUUGCCAGCAUUAAGUUGGGCACUCUGGUGAGACUGCCGGUGACAAACCGGAGGAAGGUGGGGAUGACGUCAAAUCAUCAUGCCCCUUAUGACCUGGGCUACACACGUGCUACAAUGGAUGGUACAACGAGUUGCGAACUCGCGAGAGUAAGCUAAUCUCUUAAAGCCAUUCUCAGUUCGGAUUGUAGGCUGCAACUCGCCUACAUGAAGUCGGAAUCGCUAGUAAUCGCGGAUCAGCAUGCCGCGGUGAAUACGUUCCCGGGCCUUGUACACACCGCCCGUCACACCAUGAGAGUUUGUAACACCCAAAGUCGGUGGGGUAACCUUUUAGGAACCAGCCGCCUAAGGUGGGACAGAUGAUUAGGGUGAAGUCGUAACAAGGUAGCCGUAGGAGA
rnacentral:rRNA from 1 species